rnacentral:piRNA from 1 species
UGCCAGAAUGACAACAGUGUCGUCUCAAACC